AGAGUUUGAUCCUGGCUCAGGAUGAACGCUGACAGAAUGCUUAACACAUGCAAGUCUACUUGAUCCUUCGGGUGAUGGUGGCGGACGGGUGAGUAACGCGUAAAGAACUUGCCUUGCAGUCUGGGACAACGUCUGGAAACGGACGCUAAUACCGGAUAUUAUGAUUGAAUCGCAUGAUUUGAUUAUGAAAGCUAUAUGCGCUGCGAGAGAGCUUUGCGUCCCAUUAGUUAGUUGGUGAGGUAACGGCUCACCAAGACGAUGAUGGGUAGCCGGCCUGAGAGGGUGAACGGCCACAAGGGGACUGAGACACGGCCCUUACUCCUACGGGAGGCAGCAGUGGGGAAUAUUGGACAAUGGACCAAAAGUCUGAUCCAGCAAUUCUGUGUGCACGAUGAAGUUUUUCGGAAUGUAAAGUGCUUUCAGUUGGGAAGAAGAAAGUGACGGUACCAACAGAAGAAGCGACGGCUAAAUACGUGCCAGCAGCCGCGGUAAUACGUAUGUCGCAAGCGUUAUCCGGAUUUAUUGGGCGUAAAGCGCGUCUAGGCGGUUUGGUAAGUCUGAUGUGAAAAUGCGGGGCUCAACUCCGUAUUGCGUUGGAAACUGUCAAACUAGAGUACUGGAGAGGUAGGCGGAACUACAAGUGUAGAGGUGAAAUUCGUAGAUAUUUGUAGGAAUGCCGAUGGGGAAGCCAGCCUACUGGACAGAUACUGACGCUAAAGCGCGAAAGCGUGGGUAGCAAACAGGAUUAGAUACCCUGGUAGUCCACGCCGUAAACGAUGAUUACUAGGUGUUGGGGGUCGAACCUCAGCGCCCAAGCUAACGCGAUAAGUAAUCCGCCUGGGGAGUACGUACGCAAGUAUGAAACUCAAAGGAAUUGACGGGGACCCGCACAAGCGGUGGAGCAUGUGGUUUAAUUCGACGCAACGCGAGGAACCUUACCAGCGUUUGACAUCCCAAGAAGUUAACAGAGAUGUUUUCGUGCCUCUUCGGAGGAACUUGGUGACAGGUGGUGCAUGGCUGUCGUCAGCUCGUGUCGUGAGAUGUUGGGUUAAGU
rnacentral:rRNA from 1 species